UUUAUAACAUUCGGUUUUCAUGUCAAGUUUACCUUGUUUACACAUGUAUAUACCCACAUGUUGGCAUGUUGUAUAUGGAUGCAACGACAUAGAACACACCAAGCGAUCCACGUGUUCAUGGGGAUGUGUGUGGCUAUUUUCUGCACUUAUAGGCCUGUUAAAUAGACAUAUUUAGGGCUCAUUGAGCUCAGUAUUUACAUGCACAUGUACUCGUUCGACUAGUUAUUAGCAUGAAUCUCAAUGUAUUUUGAGACUAGAGACUCAGACAUGUGUAAUGUUUGUGUAGUUAUACUGUAGUGCACGUAUUCAUAGCUUGUGUUUUCUUGUUUACUACGCAGUUUUACUCCAUGUCAAUGACAUCAUCAUCCAGUGUGACCAAAUAUUAAAACACCGGAGCUACAUGUGGAGCUAUUUCCUGACUCCCAUUUCGUCAGUGAUAGGAGUUUGGCUGGCUGCCAAAUUGAGAUUAGAAACAUCUUAAGGAGGGCAGUACAUGACACAAUGAUGCUCGUUACAUACACACAAGCACACGUCUGUGAGGACUUACCUGAUUUUGACAACCCCUCUGGCAAGAAGGAUGGGUACAUUGAGGAUCCGGGACCAUUGUUCUACGACCUCCUUCAAUUACUAAAGGUGUUGUCUGGGAGACGAAGUCCACAGUUGCAUAUCGACCUGGCAGUCAGGGAAUGAAGGAACUGAAUUUUUAAUUGAGUUAGCGUGAAUUUUUAGAAAUUAACGGGAAUUGCUGGAUUUCAGUCAUAUUUAAUUGUAAUCAAGCCUGAAUAUUUGAACCCCAAAAAACUUAUGUGUGAUAAAUCUCUGUAUAAUUAAUUUGACUCUUUUGACUCUGCCUGUAUUCCUUUGCCUUGUCCUUAAACUAUAUAGGCGUUAUAAUCUAAGCAGACUUCAUUAAUACAUGGCCUGUCGUGACAAAACACUUUAUGGUAAUUUUCAACCUUUUCUUUUUUUUUCAGUAUGUACAUCACUUUGCGCCUGUCCAAACCUCGUCGAGUUUGACAGAUUUAAUACAAAACAAAAUCAUUUAGUCUCUACUCUUAAUUUAUACGUUUGCAAAUUUCCCAAGAAACUCUCGCUCGUCAUUCAAAGCGUCGUGUAUUCCACGGGCUCGCGCAUAGUGAACAGUUUAGUUAAGUUUAUAAUAUACUCUAAGUUAGUAUAGGGUCUGGAAAAUAUCGAAAGAAAAAAAGCAUUGAUUUGGUUUUAUGGUAAAACAUAAGGCUUUAUGUAAUGAUCAGAAAUUCUCUGUGAAGUAAUAUGAGUUAAUUACAGCAUCUCUUAUAUAUUAUAAUGCCACUGUAACAAACUUACUAUCGGUUAAGUAAAAUCAAAGCACAGGGUGGGAACGGCCUGAAUCUAUAAAGGGCCCAGGCUGCUGAACCUUACAAAGUUUUCUUUAAAACUAAAGGCUAGGGCUGUUAUGUCUUACGUCUCAAACACUUUCACCUGU